rnacentral:lncRNA from 1 species
CCUCUCUCAUUCUAUCUCUAUAUACUCUCAAAAGAAACCUUAGCCGCCCUAGGAUUCCCUCGCCGGCUCCGCCUCUCUCCGCCGCCCGGAAAUCGCCUUAUGGCGGCGGAGCUUCUCCAAACUACUCCAAAUUAACACCCGACAAUCACCUUUCCCUCCCCCUUUAAAAGUGUCUGAACGAGACAUACCCCCAAACCCCUAAACUCCUUCAGUCUCUCAUCUUCUACGUCUCCAAAGAACCCUAGCCGUCGGAAAUUGUCUUCCGGCGCCGCCGCCCUAAACCACUGCCCUAGAUACCUCCAAAUGAGCCCAAAUCUUCGCCAGAUAGUCCACGUACCCUCCUCUUUCCAAGACCCCUAACAUCAUCUAUCAAAUCUUUAUAGGUUGCUCCGAUUUUCAGAUCUAAAAUUCUCAAAAAACAGUAUUCUGCCUCCUUUCUUCUUUUUCUUCGAUAUUGUUUGUUCAAGCCGACUCAUUUAUGUAAAGCUAGUUCCCUUGGCAAGAGAAAUAGAUCAACGUUGGUGUUGGUUCUUUUCAAGCCGCCGGAAUUCGGUCAGUCACCUUACCAUCCACCGGAAUUCCAUAGUCUUGUGACGACAUUCUCCGGCCAAGCUAGGGUUAUUAUCGUAACAUGCAACCACUAUACCUGUUUCUCUGAGCAAGAGUCAGUUGCUCGUGUGAAGAUAUCGACCCCGGAUCUGAUCGCUUGAAAUUAAUAGUUUGUCAUCCUCAGGUAUUCCUUCAGUUCAUUUUCCUUCCCUUGUCAAUUUGGUUUAACAUUUCUUUUUCUUUAUUUUAUUUUUCUGGCCAAUCAUCAUUUUGUUUUUUUACAUAAUGUAGAUUAGUUUAUGUUAAUGAUAAUAUGUUUAGCCUAAUUAUAAUGUUCAUUUGUCAACUACAAUUUGUUAGGUGAAUUAGAUCAGUUUUAGUCCAUUCAGAUUUUAAUUAAGUGUUAAUUGACAAUUUGUUUUGUUUUGGUCUAUAUCUAAUUUGGCCUUAAUUGUUUGAGUUGGGAGGUUUGAAUGCCAAUUGGAAUUGAAGGGGUUUGAAAGGGUAAUAUUGAAAACUUUAAAGGGGUAAUUAGAAAUCAAUUCAGGGAAUCCAAGGAUAGAAUGGCCUGGAUAGUUUUAGGAGGUUCUCGAAGGGGUUAAUGGACAAUCAAAUGAUCAGAAUUUAGGUCAAAUAGAUUAAAAUUGCAAUAAGCAGAAUUUAGAAGGGUAAAAUUGAGAGUUUUAAAUGGGAAAAUAUCAGAAUGUUCUAGUAUGGGACAGCUGUCCCCAUUCUUAGCAUGAAAAUGCUGAAAUUGGGUGGGAAAAAGGACGGACAACUGUUAAAAGAUGUUGUACUAUCUGACAUUUUAGGAAUUUAGGGCAGAAUAUGCCUUUUUGAUGCUGUUUUAUACACUCUAUAAAAGAAAAAGAACUUUACUGAUUCUUGGACAGAUUUUGAUCAAUAUAUUCACUCUAAAGGGUCCUCUGAAUACACAGAAAACUCAUGCAUCCUUCUUUUCUGGCAUUUAUAAUAGAAAACACACAUAGAAUCCCAAAGAUACCUUAAAAAUGGAGUUUGAAUCUAGAGCUGUUCUUUGUUGUUAGUGUGUUUUGUUACUGCUGUUUUCUGGGUUGUUGAGCUCUAUUUCCUAUGGUUUUUAUGACUUUUAUUUGGUCCCCAAUACUCUGAUUUCUACUCUAAUUACUGGUGGAAGCUGAUUUUCUAUUUUCUUUUCUCCAAAGUCAGAGGCAUAUUUCUUACUAUCUGUUGUACCUGUGACUGUUAAGGUAUUGAUUUCAUUCUCAUCAAAUGUAAUAGUUUUUGGAAUGCCAUAAAUAUCAUCAGAUUUGCAACUUUGGAUUGAUUACAUACUUGUUAAAUGUUCUACCCGUUAAUCUGGUAAUAUAUGGGUUGUUUGAAUAUUUUCUACCAUGUCUACUUUCUAACAAAACCGAGUCUGAUAUUUCAGCAUAUAACAGUAAUAUAACUAUGAGCUUGUUUGUUAAUGUUGUGUUAAUCAUGGAUUUUUGGUUGCAUUAGUUUGAGCACUUAAGGUGAAGUAACAUUGAUAUUUCCAGUUUGAUUUAAAGCAUCAGAUGUGUUGAAUGUUUCAAACCUUAAUGGAGGAGGAAACAAUGCUUUAAAAUCAGUUCUUUCUUUUAGCCUUGGAGUGUUAAAAUACAUUUGAAGUUCUGAAAAUUCCCUAAAUGUUUAAGAUUUAGAAGUUUUGGCAGCAUUCUCUUGUGUGUAAAGCCUUCCCCAUUUGGAAAUCACUUUGUCUUGGGUAUUAUUGGUAUUUGGUAAUGCAGGAGUUUGUAAGUGCUUGGCAUGAGGUACAGAUUUACAAAUCUAGCCACUGAUUGAUUAGCCGUUUGUGAAUGAUAGGCAACUUCAAGAACAUGGCAAAAAAUUAUUGCUAAGUUGAUCACUAGGCAGAUUCAAAAUUAAUUCGAUUUCAGCCUAUACAGAUUACUUUUCUUAAUUUAGUUCAAGGCCUGUAAUUAUUUGUAAAAAUGCAAUGAAGCUAUUCAUUAUUUGUAGUGUAUAAAAUGUAUUCAUAUUUAGUUUAAAUUAUAGUUGUUUCAGUUUUUUUUCUUUACAGCAGCCCAAAUAUUUCUUGAUUCAGAAUUUGAAACUGGGCCCAUUUCAUUUAAGCAUACUAGGACCAGUACAUAUUAACUUGAGAUGAUCCAGUUUAGGAUAUGUUAUCUGUUCUGAAAUGUGACUUAAAU